CACGUAGGAGGCGAGCGUUGUCCGGAAUCAUUGGGCGUAAAGAGCGCGCAGGCGGCUUGGCAAGUCGGGUGUGAAAUCCCGGGGCUCAACCCCGGGACUGCAUUCGAUACUGUCAGGCUAGAGGUAGGUAGGGGAGAUCGGAAUUCCUGGUGUAGCGGUGAAAUGCGCAGAUAUCAGGAGGAACACCGGUGGCGAAGGCGGGUCUCUGGGCAAUUCCUGACGCUGAGGCGCGAAAGCGUGGGGAGCAAACGGG
rnacentral:rRNA from 1 species